GGUGGUAUGGCACAAUGGUUAGCGCAUUCGGCUGUUAUAUCUGCCAUCGGCAGGUAAGCGACCGAAAGGUUGUAAGUUCGACCCUUACUAUCACCG
rnacentral:tRNA from 1 species